rnacentral:lncRNA from 1 species
CUGAUGCAAGGAUCACCCCUUCCCAGCCUCCUCCCCCACCUCUGCCUGUGCCUGGAGGUCCAGUUGGGUCCCCUCUCUUCCACACUCAGAGCCACACUUACUGCCGUCUCUUCAUCUCCUGCCUCCAGGUGGAAACUGCAGGUUUCCAGGGGGUCAGGCUAAAGCCUUUGAGUUGUGAUGUUUGGCCCCAUUACUGGAUACUUAGUAUGGAUCCAAUAAAUAUUUGUGCAGUUGAAUCAUAAACCCAUAAAUAGGAGUAACCAACGGUUUCAAAGCCUUAUGCAUUGAAAGUGCUAAUAACAGCACGAUAAGAACAAUUAACACUCCAGGCAAUAUGCUAAGCUUUGAACGUGCUUUUAUGUGGUCAGCUUUCACCAAAACUCUAGACUCGAUGCCAUUUUUAUUCCCAUUUUGCAGCUGAGAGAAAAAGGUUCUGAGAGGUCAGGGUUUUCCCAAGAUGACAUUCCUAGUAGACGACAUAGUCAUGACCUUGGUUAGGCCUCUGACUACAACCCCUCAGCUCCUCUGCCCCGCAGCUGGCUGUGUGGCCCUGGUCGGAGCCCCCUGCUCUCCCAGCCUCGUCUAUGAAGUAAGGAGCGUGAAGGAGGUCCUGUCCAAAGGCCAUCUCAACACAAAAUGCCGAGGUCUCUCAAGAGCGCUCCCAUUUGCGACACCUGUUCUGCCAAAGGAAAUCUUGAAGCAGGAGACUCCGAUUUUCCCGGAGACAUCCUGUCAAUGGAGGAAACACUCCUGUGAGGCCCUCAACUGCAACUGUUUUCACCAUCAUUUAGAGCAAGGGGCCGAAGGGGUUGCAGAAGAGAAUGACAACCCUCUUUUCUUGGGGGUAAUCCUCUCUAAGCCUCGCUUUGGUUCAUUUGGGAAAAUGUGGGUUGGGCCCAAGGGCAACAGCUGAUGUUUACCCUGGGACCAGCUUGGAAGCACAGACUCAAGCCACUGGAAGGCCCUUGCAGUGUUCCACCUGGCCCAGCUCCUGCUGAGGCCUCCAACCGCCAGCCCUGCUGUGCCCUCGCUUCCUUUCUCAGCUCCUCCUGCAACCUUCUUGCUAUGUCUGGAGCUCCCUCCUUCCCUGACUUCCCAGCCAGUCUGCUAUUCCCCGGAGCCCCGAGGGGACCCAUGCCCUCUCACCCAGUACCUGGUCCUCCUUGCUCCCAGUUCUGACACCUGUGGAGAAGCCACGCUGCCCACAUGCCUGCCCACUGCAGCUCCGAAAUGUGACAAGGUCCCUGAGAGCCAGGAGAAAGCCAAGGGUGGAGCCAGCUCCACAUUUCUGUCCUGCACAAUGGAAGCAGGUGUCUCAGUCCAUUUGAGCUGCUCUACCAGCGUCCCAUAGACAACAAAAAAAGUUAAUCCUGACAGUUCUGGAGGCUGGAAACUUAAGAUCAAGGCACAGCAGAUCCAGUGCUGCUGACAGUCCCUUCCUGGUUUGCAUCUUGUUGCAGCCUCACCACCUCACAUGAUGGAGAGAGAAACCAUCUGUCUUACUACAGUUUCAAGGGCACCAAUCCCAUUAGUGAGGGCUCCACCCUCAUGACCCAAUCGUCUACCCAAAGGCCCAGCCCCGUGGCUUAGGGGUUUAGGCUUAGACGUCAUUUGGAGAGGACCAUUCAGUCCACAGCUCGGAACAAUCAGGCACUGUUAAGUGCUCACAGUCUUGGCACUCAGCUUCUGAGUCAACCCAGAAUCAGCCAGAGAUGUGGACCAGACGCGACCAAUCAGAAGUCCUUGCAGAUCUAGCCCUGAUGGGAGUAAAACACACAGACCCUCCUGGAAUGGGCAGAGAGAGCAGAGAGGUCUCAGGGCACCAGGGCUGGCAGCCACCCUGGAAAGCCCCUCCUGCUGUGUUUCAGCUCUGCAUUCAUCCCUCAGGAAGCACCAAAGGCAGUACUAAGGACAGGAACAUCAAGGGCCCCUACAAAUCCUACAGACCAGGAGGAUAAGCAGGAACUGGCUUCUUAGGAGCAUCAUUGGCUUUGGGCAACGCCGGGGCUCCAAUCCCCACUUCCCACCUCUGCUGCUCUGUCAUCCUAGCACGGGGACGGGGACUUAUUCGUGAAAUCCAUCAAAGUAUUCAAUUGCGCACCAGUGAGGGAAUCCAUGUACAGUGUUCAGCAUAGCUGUUGUCAUCAUCACAUUACAAUGGAUCAGGGGCUCCUAGCUCCAGUUUUAACUCCACAAAUGCGCUGGUUCAUUGGUAACAAGCUGGACGCCUGUGACAAACGCCGUCAGAGAAUAUAGUUGACUCCAAAGCCUGCCUCCAUCCCCCGGUGCUACCAAAGCUUAUCAUCAGCACUUUUCGUCAACAUUUGUGGUCCUUGUUUUUCUGAAGGCCAGACGCACAGCAGGAGGGACCAGACUGUCACACGCCCAGCACCCCCACGGCUCACUUUGCCAGCAGGACAUAAUCCACCUCAUUUUUUUUUUUCCAUCAACGUCCUAAGGACUGAAUUUGUGAUUUUUCACUCAUGAAUGACAGCCAAACAGUACUGGACCCAUGCCUUCUCCAAGACCACGUCUCCUAUUCCUGGGCUAUAUUUCUUUGCUUAGUGGAAGUGGGAGUUCCAGCUCACCAGGAAAAUAUGCUUUACCUUCAGAGAUGAUUUGCCCUGAGGUCUGGAUUUUCCACUCUCCUCUCUUAAGUGAGAAGUGGCUCUCGCCAAGUUCUCCUCUUUACAGGCAUCUGUCCAAAUCUGUGUCCCCAAAAGCUUGGCUCUUAGAGAAGCAGGAGGGAAAAUAGACUCAGAGUGAAGAUUCUGGAAGAGAUAUGGUCUGGGGGGAGGGCAGUUUGAGGCUGCAGACCCUCCCCUGCCUUACCACAGAGCCAAAGCUCUUCACUCAUCUGCUUCAUCUGCUGGGUUUUGAGUUUUAAAUAAGAGUAUUAAAUAUACAAACACCUUUUAAAAUCCCCACACCCCAUCCAGCUCUCUCAUGUUACAGGUAAUAAACAGGUGACAGGCUGGGGCAAUUAGCAUUGGUGGCUUUUGAAAUACAAGCCCCUAACCCCAUGAUUAGUGGUCUUUUGGCCUGGGGAAAGGCCUGGAACACCCUGGAAGCAUCUCAGGCCAGAGCUGCUCCCUAACAGAUUCUUAAAGUUUUGCAGAAGGAGAAAAAUGGACCUUCACAAAUCAAGUCCUCUGUAGACAUAGAUAUUCACACAUCUUUUCUGUACCUUCACCUGGAGACUAGAAGUCCUUUAUUGGCUAAAGCGGAGAGAGAAAACAGAUUCUAUUCCCAAAUAGACCUGCACAAAAUCAUACAUAAUAGACCUGUACAUUUGACCUACCCAGAGUUAUCGAUUUUUGUUUGUUCGUUUGUUUGUUUUUUCUUUUUAGGGCCGAACCCGCAGCAUAUGGAAGUUCCCAGACUAGGGGUUGAAUUGGAGUUGCAGCUGCCAGCCUACACCAUAGUCACAACAACAUAGGCUCUGAUCCACCUCUGUGAACUACACUGCAGCUCAUGCCAACACCAGAUUCUUCAACCACUGAGUAAGGCCAGGGGUUGAACCAAGUCCUCAUGGAUACUAGUCUGGUUCGUGACCUCAGAGCCACCAUGCAAACUCCAGAAUUAUCAUUUUUUAAAAAGCAACACGUGAGAGUUCCUGUUGUGGCUCAGCGGAAACCCGACUGAUACAUGAGGAUGAGGGUUUGAUCCCUAGCCUGAGAACCUCCACAGGUAUGGCCCUAAAAAGCAAAAAAAA